GGCACGGUGGCUUAGUGGUUAUCAAAUUUGCCUCACACCUCUAGGGUCCGGGGUUCGAUUCCCGCCGGGGCU